GUGAGCUAACUCACUCCUAUAUAAAUUAAAAUGAUACAAAGAAGAUUAGCACAACCUCUACGCAAGGAUAACAUAAAUAAAUUGAAAAAAUAAUCCAUCCCA
rnacentral:snRNA from 1 species